AUUCCCAAUGAUGUUUGGCAUUUUUUACCAUGCUAAUGCUGAAAUGCUUUGACGAACCUUCAAUGCGUAUCCUGAGGGAACU